rnacentral:rRNA from 1 species
GACGAACCACACGAACGUUAUUCGGAAUUACUGGGCUUAAAGGGCGCGUAGGCGGUUUGUUAAGUCGGCUGUGAAAGCCCGGGGCUCAACCCCGGAGGGUCAGCCGAUGCUGGCAGACUAGAGUACGGAAGAGGUAGCUGGAAUUCCCGGUGUAGCGGUGAAAUGCGUAGAUAUCUGGAGGAACACCGGUGGCGAAGGCGGCAUCCUGGACCAAUAUUGACGCUGAGGAGCGAAAGCCAGGGGAGCAAACGGG